rnacentral:rRNA from 1 species
UACAGAGGGGGCAAGCGUUGUUCGGAAUUACUGGGCGUAAAGGGCGCGUAGGCUGCGGGGUAAGUCGGGUGUGAAAUCUCAGAGCUCAACUCUGAAACUGCACUCGAUACUGCUCUGCUUGAGGACUGGAGAGGAGAUUGGAAUUCACGGUGUAGCAGUGAAAUGCGUAGAUAUCGUGAGGAAGACCAGUGGCGAAGGCGGAUCUCUGGACAGUUCCUGACGCUGAGGCGCGAAGGCCAGGGGAGCAAACGGG